rnacentral:rRNA from 1 species
AUUGAACGCUGGCGGCAGGCCUAACACAUGCAAGUCGGACGGUGGCACAGAGAGCUUGCUCUUGGGUGACGAGUGGCGGACGGGUGAGUAAUGUCUGGGGAUCUGCCCGAUAGAGGGGGAUAACCACUGGAAACGGUGGCUAAUACCGCAUAACGUCGCAAGACCAAAGAGGGGGACCUUCGGGCCUCUCACUAUCGGAUGAACCCAGAUGGGAUUAGCUAGUAGGCGGGGUAAUGGCCCACCUAGGCGACGAUCCCUAGCUGGUCUGAGAGGAUGACCAGCCACACUGGAACUGAGACACGGUCCAGACUCCUACGGGAGGCAGCAGUGGGGAAUAUUGCACAAUGGGCGCAAGCCUGAUGCAGCCAUGCCGCGUGUAUGAAGAAGGCCUUCGGGUUGUAAAGUAGUUUCAGCGGGGAGGAAGGCGGUGCGGUUAAUAACCGUACCGAUUGACGUUACCCGCAGAAGAAGCACCGGCUAACUCCGUGCCAGCAGCCGCAGUAA